rnacentral:misc_RNA from 1 species
GAUGAAGAACGUAGUGAAAUGCGAUAAGUAAUGUGAAUUGCAGAAUUCAGUGAAUCAUCGAAUCUUUGAACGCACAUUGCGCCCGCCAGUAUUCUGGCGGGCAUGCCUGUUCGAGCGUCAUUUCAACCCUCAAGCCCCAGCGGCCUGGUGUUGGGGACCGGCGACCUCGCCCGAGCCCGCCCUCCGGGGCGCGUGCCCGGUGCGUCCGCCGCCCCCGAAAUGAAUUGGCGGCCUCGUCGCGGCCUCCCCUGCGUAGUAGCACAACCUCGCAAGCGGGAGCGCGACGCGGCCACUGCCGUAAAACGCCCAACUUUUUUAGAGUUGACCUCGGAUCAGGUAGGAAUACCCGCUGAACUUAAGCAUAUCAAUAAGCGGAGGA